GCAGUAGCCGCGGGAAUACGAAGGGGGCUAGCGUUGUUCGGAUUUACUGGGCGUAAAGCGCGCGUAGGCGGAUCCUUAAGUCAGAGGUGAAAUCCCAAGGCUCAACCUUGGAACUGCCUUUGAUACUGGGGAUCUCGAGUUCGGGAGAGGUGAGUGGGACUGCGAGUGUAGAGGUGAAAUUCGUAGAUAUUCGCAAGAGCACCAGUGGCGAAGGCGGCUCACUGGCCCGAUACUGACGCUGAGGCGCGAAAGCGUGGGGAGCAAACAGGAUUAGAUACCCCCGUAGUCCCUGUCUCUUAUAC
rnacentral:rRNA from 1 species